rnacentral:rRNA from 1 species
CAGCAGCCGCGGUAACACGUAGGUGGCAAGCGUUGUCCGGAAUUAUCGGGCGUAAAGGGCUCGCAGGCGGUUUCUUAAGUCUGAUGUGAAAGCCCCCGGCUCAACCGGGGAGGGUCAUUGGAAACUGGGAAACUUGAGUGCAGAAGAGGAGAGUGGAAUUCCACGUGUAGCGGUGAAAUGCGUAGAGAUGUGGAGGAACACCAGUGGCGAAGGCGACUCUCUGGUCUGUAACUGACGCUGAGGAGCGAAAGCGUGGGGAGCGAACAGGAUUAGAGACCCCUGUAGUCCCUGUCUCUUAUAA